rnacentral:lncRNA from 1 species
UUACAAGUGUAAUACGGUGGCAAUCACAGUAAUGACUACAAGUGUAAUACAGUACUUUACAAGCUUUACAAGCAAUCACAAACUGGCACCUGCUCCCGUCAUGAACAUGCCAAACUCACAACAUGCCAAACUCGUUGGACUACCAUAGUGAUAUGAACAACAUGCCGAACUAGCUGGACAACCGUAGUUAGGGCUGGGAACAAACAGAACGGCCUUCAAGAAAACAGACAACAUGCCUUCCUCGGUCGCCCUGUUACAUGAAUCAGUAGAGAAGAAUCAAAAAAACUGGGGCAAAUAUAUUAUGAACAGACCAUUCAAGAAAAGGAUAGUUAUUUAGAAUGAUAACACAAAUUGAGCUAGUACCAUGCUUUUUGUUCUCCAGCUAGUUAAAAUGAGAUACUCGUUCAUACAAGAAAGGUGACUCGUGAAAAUAGAGCAUUCUACUCAUAGCUCGCAGAGUAUCAAUAUUCUGUUCUUAUAAGCUUAUUCUUAUGCGUGAAGCAAGUAAGGAAAUCUGACCAAAUAAGCAACACCUCCAUAAACUGAUCAUGACUAAAUGGAGCAGAGGAAGGAAAGGAGCUCUCCAUGGCUGUUUUUGUAGCCGAUGCCGAACAACACAGCUGCCACCACCGUUGCAUGGAAGCAGCAGAAAAGAGGAGCCUGGCAUGACGAACCCCUUGUACCGAAUCAAAUCAUGCUGCACAAGAAGGACAAGAGAAAUAAGAAGAUAAUCUUGAGGUCAAAUCAAAAAUCAGAAAAAUAAAUCAUGGACUCAAGCACAUUCAUACAUAUACUUUAAGUUGUUAAACAGAAUCAUAGAUUCCAUCACGUAAUCCAAAAAAUUUGAACAUAUAUAUAUAUAUGCAUGCUUGUCAAAGUUUCAUUCCAGAGAAUUAAAGUGCUGGGUAAGAAGCCUAAUGUACAAUUGAUACAAGUUAAUACAAGCCUGAUGUACUACUCUGGGUAAGAAGAAGCAUGUACUUUAGUAGUUUUAGCACACUAAUACAUGUGUUAAAAUGGAAGCGUCGCUGCUGGGUUAUAUUAAUAAAUAAUCUAAGUGUUGCAACACCCAACAAGAUUUGCAUGAACAGGUAAAACCUAGCAAGUACUUGUACUGGGAUGUUGUCCAUCCAACAGAGACAACAAACCAGCUUAUCACAAGACUGAUGCUGGACUCCAUUGCCGGAAUCUACAGCUAGGCACUCAAGCUUAAGGGGAUCCUCAUGUGGAUCGAGCCUGCAUGUUAAUCUUUACACUAGCAGGGCCAUUUCUGUUCUCUUUCUUUCUUUGACACCAGUGUCAUGUACUAUACUCAACUGUACUGCAAGUGCCAUGUGCUACUGCAGUUUAGUUGAGUUUUAAGACUAGAACAUGUUAUUGUAACCUUUGCAACUGAAGACACAGAAUAACUAAGUGGAUCAGCAUGAAUGAACAAGCUAAAGGGUCAGUGUCUAAUGUCAGAAUCUACAGCUCAAGAGGAUCCUGUGUGGAUCAAGCCAAAGUGUUAAGGCUACCUUUUACAUCAGUGUCAUGUGCUAUAUUCAAACUGUGCUGCAACUUAGUUGAGUUGCAAGUAGGACUACAGUGAAGAUGCUAUUCUAACUUCUGUGACUGAAGAAAAAGACACCGUAUGUACAUCGUGUUAAACAUUAGUACACAGCGCUGACGCUACUAUACAACCACGAAUUAAAUCACUGGACACCAAGGCCGGAAUGGCGCUAGAGUGGACCAAGCAGUCAAACUGGGACAGAUUGGAUGAUUUUACCCUCGAGUAAUCUAAGCAGCUAGAACCGACAUCCUCCCCCUCUGCACGCUAUCCUCUCUUCACUGUCUAAACCGAACCAUCGUCUUCCUUGACACCCGCAGCACCUCGGUGUACCAUGGUGAUGGCCUGCACAAAUCCCCUGCAUGGAUCAGAUCAGAUCUAAUCAAGAAGAAGCAGAGGAGGGGAGGGGAGGGGAGGAGGGACGAGCAAUCAGUGCAUCAACAAAAUAUGGAACAUCAAGCACAGCAUGACAACUAGAGUAUAUGUAUUGCUGGCUCUUAUUAGUCCACAACCGAGUGGAUUUUCAACCAUACUAUAACUAUCACUCCAUCCAUUAUUUAAACUACCAAAACGUCUUUAUAUUGAGAAACAUAGGUACUGGUUGCAUAUAUAGACUAGUAGCAGUACUAUGUGUGGCAGUUUUAACAAGUCAAAUAAUUUUACUGUAGACAAGUUGCAUAUAUAGACUAGUAGUAGUACUGUAAUCUAACAGUGGCUAAAGCAUACAAGAAACAUAUUGCAGUGUACUCUAGCCCAAACGAAUUCCCACCCAUGCCUUGUUUCAGAUUAGACACUUUCUUACAACUGAAUUCCAGAUACAAUUGGUUUAAGAUCCAGGUGUACUAAUUAAGAAAGAGGCGACAAGUAGCCAUUGCAUGUGACGGCAGGCAGACAGGAAAUGGUUAGGAAGAAGAGGAGCAGUGGAGCAAUGACUGACCCAUUGGAGACCCCGGUCUUGUCCUUCUUGAAGACGACCCCGAAUCCCCGAUGCACUCGCCGUCGACCACAUUGGAGGCACUAACUGGAUACAAACAAGAACAUAAGACAAAUAGUAUAUACAUUAGUAAGAUAAGCAGCUGUAACAUAACAGGAACUGGAACGACGAUUCUCAUUUAAGCAACUGGAGUACCAUUUGUGCACAUGCCGAAACAAUACAUGGAAGUACUAGCAAAACAAUAAACGCAUGGGAGCACUUUGGAAGAUGCGUGCGGCUAGCAUAUGGAGUAAUAAUCUCUAGCUUCAGAUGAACAAUUCUGGGCUUGGGAAUCAGAGAGCUUAAGCGCUGCAAGGUUGGUGUUAGCCCAACUAUAUACUCUGUCAGCUCGAGAACUUGCUCAGUCGAGAUGAAGCAGCGAUUGAACCGGCAAACACAACACACCGCGUCGACACAAAAAUGACUUGCCAGCAUCCAGCAAUUCGAUGCGCGCGCCACAGAUCCGUGCACUCCUGGGACAAUUAGAAGCGCCACACCUUCGUACAGCAGCGAAUUCAGCUGGACCACGGAGCAGAUUCCGAUGCCGCACACACGCGGAGCCCGCAUCUCUAGGCACGCGCGCGCGCGAGGCAGCGGUGACGCGGAGAAGGCACGCCCUGAGGACACGGUGCUGCCUCGGGAGCUGGCCAGAGUGAGGGCCGUCGCGACGGGGAUCGAGUUUCGAAUCAGGCAGAGAGAGGGAGAGGGAGAGAGGGAGGGGGAAGGGGCGCGGACCUCGUCGAGCGUGGCGGGGUCGAGGGGGGCGAGGGAGCCCUU